AAACAAUAUGUAAUUACCACGGUAUGGCAACAUUCUAAUGGUCACGUUACCACUUGAGAGAGAAUUGGAUGUGAGCAGAGAGGAAGUCAUCUUUCGAAGCAUAUUUAAGUAUGCUACUGAAGUUUUCACAACCUAAAAUAUUGUAAUGCGGGAUGCUGUUAGUUUUACCGGUCGAUUACCGAUUGCAAUGAGCAGUACUAGUAAACGUGCUUGGAUUCUUGGGAGGUGAUACCAAUCGAU